CAGGCCUAACACAUGCAAGUCGAGCGCGCCCUUCGGGGUGAGCGGCGGACGGGUGAGUAACGCGUGGGAACGUGCCCUUUGCUACGGAAUAGCCCCGGGAAACUGGGAGUAAUACCGUAUGUGCCCUUCGGGGGAAAGAUUUAUCGGCAAAGGAUCGGCCCGCGUUGGAUUAGGUAGUUGGUGGGGUAAUGGCCUACCAAGCCGACGAUCCAUAGCUGGUUUGAGAGGAUGAUCAGCCACACUGGGACUGAGACACGGCCCAGACUCCUACGGGAGGCAGCAGUGGGGAAUCUUAGACAAUGGGCGCAAGCCUGAUCUAGCCAUGCCGCGUGAUCGAUGAAGGCCUUAGGGUUGUAAAGAUCUUUCGUGGGGGAAGAUAAUGACUGUACCCUCAAGAAGAAGCCCCGGCUAACUCCGUGCCAGCAGCCGCGGUAAU
rnacentral:rRNA from 1 species